rfam:Felis catus isolate Cinnamon breed Abyssinian chromosome B1, whole genome shotgun sequence.
GCCUGGGUGGCUCAGUAGGUUAAGCGUCCGACUUCAGCUCAGGUCACGAUGUCGCAGUCUGUGGGUUCGAGCCCCGCGUCGGGCU